rnacentral:rRNA from 1 species
CUCCGUAGGUGAACCUGCGGAGGGAUCAUUACAAGAACGCCCGGGCUACGGCCUGGUUAUUCAUAACCCUUUGUUGUCCGACUCUGUUGCCUCCGGGGCGACCCUGCCUUCGGGCGGGGGCUCCGGGUGGACACUUCAAACUCUUGCGUAACUUUGCAGUCUGAGUAAACUUAAUUAAUAAAUUAAAACUUUUAACAACGGAUCUCUUGGUUCUGGCAUCGAUGAAGAACGCAGCGAAAUGCGAUAAGUAAUGUGAAUUGCAGAAUUCAGUGAAUCAUCGAAUCUUUGAACGCACAUUGCGCCCCCUGGUAUUCCGGGGGGCAUGCCUGUUCGAGCGUCAUUUCACCACUCAAGCCUCGCUUGGUAUUGGGCAACGCGGUCCGCCGCGUGCCUCAAAUCGUCCGGCUGGGUCUUCUGUCCCCUAAGCGUUGUGGGAACUAUUCGCUAAAGGGUGUUCGGGAGGCUACGCCGUAAAACAACCCCAUUUCUAAGGUUGACCUCGGAUCAGGUAGGGAUACCCGCUGAACUUAAGCAUAU